rnacentral:misc_RNA from 1 species
AAAACUUAUUUUUACAAUAUCAUAUAGCAAUUCAUCAAAAUGACCCAGUAAAUAGGCCCUAACGCCCCUCACAUAUACAGGAAAUAAAUAAGGUUUGUUUCAUUGUGUUUGCUGAAUAUGGGAGGUAAAUAUAAAUUAGGAUUGCGCAUUUUUGGAUUUUCACAAAAGUUAAGAGCAAGAGAGAAUAUUUCUCUUACUAUGAUUUUCAUCUUUCAUUCCUGCCUCCUCCAGAUUAUGUAACAUGCUUCAAUCAG